ACUCUCUCUCCGGCUCUGCCAUGGUAAGAUGUGACUGCUUCCCCUUCACCGUCUGCCAUAAUUGUAAGUUUCCUGGGGCCUCACAGCCAUGCUUCCUGUACAGCCUGCGGAACGAUUAGCAUGAGAGAUUCUCCUGCUGGCCUUGGAGAAGUGAGCUGCUAUGUUGUGAGAGGGCCAUGUGGUAAGCAACUGUGGAUCAUCUCUAGGAGCUGAGGCCUUCAGUCCUGUAGCCACAAGAACUAAAUUUGGCCAUCAACCACAUGAGCUUGAAGAGGAACACAAGCUCCAGAAAGAAAUGCAGUCUGGCUGAGACCGUGUUUGAAGUCUUGUGAGACUAUGAGUAAAAGACUCAGAUAAACUCUGCCCGGACUCAUGACUUACAGAAUUUGUUUAAAAUAAAAAAAAGCAGUUGGGAUUUUGAUAACAGUAUGUUGAAAAUGAUCAAUUUGGGGAAUUUUGCCAUCUUAACAAUAUUAAGUCUUCCAAUCCAUGAACAUGGAAUGUCUUUCCAAUUAUUUAUAUUUUUAAUUUCUUUCAAUGAAGUUUUGUAGUUUUCAGUGUACAGGUAUUGAACUAUUUUGCUAUUUUUGGAGAUAUUUUAUUCUUUUUGAUGCUAUUGUAAAUGGAAUUGAUUUGCUUCAUUUUUAGAUUAUUGCCGGUGCAUAGAAAUACAAUUGAUUUUAUACUUUGACCUUGUAUCCUGCAAUCUUUCUAAAUUUGUUUAUUCAUUCUAUUAGUGUUUUAUUGAAUUCCUAAAAUUGUGUUACAUACAAAAUUGUCAUCUGCAAAUAUAGUUUUACAUCUUCCUUUUAGGUCUGGCUGUCUUUCAUUCUUUUUUCUUGCCUUAUAUGCCUAGCUAGGAACUAUAGUACAAAUCUGAAUAGAAGUGGCAGGAACAGACACUCUUAUCCUGUUUGUGAUCUUAGGGGAUAUGCAUUUACUCUUUCACUAUUAAGUAUGAUGUUAUCUGUGGGGUUUUUUUUCUAAUAGAUAUUCUUUGUCAUGGGUUAAAUUUGUCCUCCAAUAAGAUAUGUUGAAGUC
rnacentral:lncRNA from 1 species